rnacentral:rRNA from 1 species
UUUGCCUACGGGGGGCAGCAGUGAGGAAUAUUGGUCAAUGGUCGGGAGACUGAACCAGCCAAGCCGCGUGAGGGAUGAAGGUACAGAGUAUCGUAAACCUCUUUUGUCAGGGAACAAAAGCGGGGACGUGUCCCCGGAUGCGUGUACCUGAAGAAAAAGCAUCGGCUAACUCCGUGCCAGCAGCCGCGGUAAUACGGAGGAUGCGCGAGUUAUCCGGGUUUAUUGGGUUUAAAGGGUGCGCAGGCGGUCUGUUAAGACAGCGG